UCGGAUAUGGUGUAAUGGCUAACAUUACCGCGUUUCAUUGACGUAUGUCGAUGCGGCACUUUACGCUGUAGCUCGGGGUUCGAUUCCCCGGAUCCGAA